UACAGAGGUCUCAAGCGUUGUUCGGAUUCAUUGGGCGUAAAGGGUGCGUAGGUGGCGGGGUAAGUCAGGUGUGAAAUUUCGGAGCUUAACUCCGAAACUGCAUUUGAUACUGCCUUGCUUGAGGACUGGAGAGGAGACUGGAAUUCACGGUGUAGCAGUGAAAUGCGUAGAGAUCGUGAGGAAGACCAGUGGCGAAGGCGGGUCUCUGGACAGUUCCUGACACUGAGGCGCGAAGGCCAGGGGAGCAAACGGG
rnacentral:rRNA from 1 species